CAACCUCAUCCUCAUCAUUCUCAAAGGGGUCGCUAUUCUCCCUCUCCUCGAUGAACUCCCAGAACCGAUUCCUCCGCUGGGCCUGCAAAGAGAGCACAGUUAUUGCCCUAGUGUGACCCAGUGUUUGAAGUACUCACUUGGAAUGACAAAGUUCGACGUGAUCCGACAUUCUGGGCAGGACCUGGGGAAUGAACAGACCGUGCUGCAAAAUUCCACAUGACAGGGCGCUCCCUCCUGUUACAAACAAACUAGGGCAUGUACCCAUCUUUAAAGCUGUAUGUUAUUGUACCUGGACACUGGCUGCAUGGGCUUUUUCAAUCUACAUUCUUUUGCACAAGACGACACCCUAAAACUCUUCCUCUUCUUUAAAAGCUCAACUCAGCAGCUGGUCAGGAAGUCUCAAAAAAGAACUUGGAAAAACAUUUCACACAGACUCCUUUUGCUUUAGAUUUAAAUAAAUUUAUUAGUUUGUG